GCUACAGUUGGUAUCAAAGCUGUUGGUUAUGAAGCUUAGGUAGCAAUACCUGAGACCAAUAACCGCAGUGAUUAGGAUAAGUACUAACUCACAUAGAGUUAGUUGAAGAAUCUCGCAGGGUCAAAAAGUUAGGUUUAAGUAUGGUACCAUUGUACUCGAAACUAGUUGAUGUAUGGUAUCUGGGCUAAACGAUUCCUUCAUAGAGCGGAGGUAUAUACGAACUAGCAACUCGGAACCUAGUUUGUUGGUUGUUUGUGGGAAACCACUCAGCGUACCAUAUUGAAAACUGUUAGAGACUCGAUGUGUACCAAGUAUAGGAAGUGGAUAGAUAGAGUCUAAGAGAUUACAAGUGUAAGGAUAAGAGAUCGUAAAACAAAACGAUCACAGAAUAGCAAUGAAUCGUAAUAUAUACGAUGAGAUCACUCCGUGAUCUGAUAAGAUUAUGGUAUGAAGAAAGAUCAAGAGAAUGAUGAAAAGUUUACAGCAAGAUUGCUGUGUAUGAAUUGUACUAUAAAUUGGUACAGAUCCAGAAGAGAAUUAUAAAUACGAAUUAAAUUCGUAUGGAGAAUGGGG
rnacentral:lncRNA from 1 species